GGCGAGGUAGCUCAGGUGGUUAGAGCGUAGGAUUCAUAACCCUAAGGUCGGGGGUUCGAUACCCCCUCUCGCUA
rnacentral:tRNA from 1 species